rnacentral:lncRNA from 1 species
GAAAUUCAGUUUUUAAAAUUUUCAAAUUCCAAUGUCUUAAUUUUUUCUUUUAUUUUUUCUCCAAUAUGAAUAUUCCUGAAUGAGUCAAUGAAGUCAGAUUUUGCUGGGUCCUGCUGAUAAUGAAGGGUUAACUUUUCCAAACUAAACAAUCUAUUUCCACUUUCCAGUUAAUAAACUUUUGAAGAAAAUGUACAAAAUAACAAAUGUUUAUAUUUUAAAUAAAUUUUAGACAAGAAACAAAAUGUUUAUUUUUUAACAUACCAAUGUAAUUAUGGUUUUUGAUACUUCCAGUUAAUUUAUGUAGCUCUUUUUUUUUUUCAGGCAGAACUAUAUUUCUUUGGCCAGAAGACUUCCUUUAAACGUCUCCCUCUUUCACCUCCACUGGAGUGUAGUGGUAUAGCUACAGCUCACUGCAGCCUUGACUUCCUGGCCUCAAGCCUUCCUCUUACCUCAGCCUCUAGAGCAGGCUCAUGAUCAUAUUUCGGUAAUUGGAACACAGCCAUUCCAAGGCUUUUAGCAGUUUCUUGUACAUUAAUCAUCUUGUUCCUGUCUAGACACUAGCUAUGAAUGUGAAGAAGCCAUUCUGGACAUUCCAGACCCAGCAGAUGCCACAUGGAACAGUACUGAGGUCCAAAACACAUGGUUUUCCACCAUAUCCUGACAAUUGAACUACCCUGGCUGAAGCCCAGACAUCAUGGCACAAAGACAAGCUGUCAUCACUGAACCCUGACAAAGUUCUUGACCCACAGAAUUGUAAGCCUAAUAAAAGUGGAUUUUUAAAAAAAU